rnacentral:rRNA from 1 species
UGAGGUAAUGGCCCACCAAGCCUUUAACCGGUACGGGCCGUGGGAGCGGUAGCCCGGAGAUGGGCACUGAGACAAGGGCCCAGGCCCUACGGGGCGCAGCAGUCGCGAAAACUUCGCAAUAAGCGAAAGCUUGACGGGGCCAUCCCGAGUGCCAUCUGCUGAGGAUGGCUUUUACCUAGUAUAGAUAGCUGGGGGAAUAAGGAGAGGGCAAGUCUGGUGUCAGCCGCCGCGGUAAUACCAGCUCUCCGAGUUGUAGGGAUGUUUAUUGGGCCUGAAGCAUCCGUAGCCGGCUGGACAAGUCCUCUGUUAAAUCCAGCGACCAAUCGUUGGUCUGCGGGGGAUACUGUCCGGCUAGGGGGCGGGAGAGCCUGUCGGUAUUCUUGGGGUAGGGGUGAAAUCCUAUAAUCCCAGGAGGACCACCAGUGGCGAAGGCUGUCGGCUAGAACGCGCCCGACGGUGAGGGAUGAAAGCUGGGGGAGCGAACCGGAUUAGAUACCCGGGUAGUCCCAGCUGUAAACGAUGCAGGCUAGGUGUUAGGGCGGCUACGUGCCGCUCUAGUGCCGCAGGGAAGCUGUUAAGCCUGCCGCCUGGGGAGUAAGCCGCAAGGCUGAACUUAAAGGCCA